rnacentral:rRNA from 1 species
CAGUAGCCGCGGGAAUACAGAGGGUGCGAGCGUUAAUCGGAUUUACUGGGCGUAAAGCGUGCGUAGGCGGCUUCUUAAGUCGGAUGUGAAAUCCCUGAGCUUAACUUAGGAAUUGCAUUCGAUACUGGGAAGCUAGAGUAUGGGAGAGGAUGGUAGAAUUCCAGGUGUAGCGGUGAAAUGCGUAGAGAUCUGGAGGAAUACCGAUGGCGAAGGCAGCCAUUUGGCCUAAUACUGACGCUGAGGUACGAAAGCAUGGGGAGCAAACAGGAUUAGAUACCCGCGUAGUCCCUGUCUCUUAUAC